AAUACCUGGAAUAGGAUCAAUUUAAAAUUUAACGAACUGCCUUGUAAUAUCAACCUUGUUUUUCUUGUAUCAAAGCAUGUGCUACAUAGAGCAUCAUUUGCCAAACAUGCCCCACUCACACAAUACUGAACCAUUAUUAAGGGGAGCUAUAUUAUUGUUACUGUAUGUUGCAUGUUGCAUGUGCUGUGUACUGUACGUGCUGUAAGUCAGUACCAUACGUCUCUCACUCAAAGGAUAACCAUUCUUAUGGGAAGCCAUUUCAAUGCUACAAAAUACCGUACCGUGAAGUACUACGUGCUGUAAGUCGUUUUCCACUUAUAAGAUAUAAACAUUCUUGUGGGGAGCCAUUUCAAUGUUAGGGCAAGUCGUACCGUGUACGUGCUGUGAGUCAGUACUGUACGUUUCCCACUCAUACAAUAACCAUUCUCAUGGAAAGCCAUUUCAAUGUUACGGCAAGUCGUACCAUGUACGUGCUGAGAGUCAGUACUGUACGUUUCCUCAAUCAUAGGAUAACCAUUCUUGUGGGAAGCCAUUUCAAUGCUACAACAUACCGUACGGUGUACGUGCUGUAAGUCGCUUUCCACUUAAAAGAUGUAAACAUUAUCCUUGUGGGAAGCCAUUUCAAUGCUACAGCAAAUCAACAACUCUCAACUGCAUACCCAGCCGCCUUGCAGUAAAAUAAUAGAUCUGAUGUAACAAGAUAGAUGUCAGUGUCAUCAGCACCAAGCCUAAUGCAUACAGCUGUUCUUUCCAUUCCCUGUAGUAAAAAUUGAAAUGAAAAACAAAGGAGCC